ACUGUGUGGCCUGUCUGGCCCAGAAAUUGCUAUGUAGACCAGACUGGCCCGAGACAGAGAUUUACCACACCUGACGGCUCCUCCGUUCUUCCUGCUUCCUCUUCCGGGGUUGCCGUAGGGCACCAUUUAGGGCUGAGCACCCAGCGGCCACUGUUCUCGGCACAUUGACAGUUUGAGCCUCUGCGUUAACUGGUGACCACUGCACACAGAAGCUUCUCCGAGGUUGAGGGAAGCCCGGGUCCAGGCUGGAAGCUCCAUCCUGUCUGUGAAUGGAAAACCACUGCUUUGGGCAUCAGAGGCCGGAAAUAGACUGGGAGCUUCCCGCCUAAGGCCAAGGCCUGUGAGGACACCUGUGCAGGUCCGGGCUGGAGAGAUGCUCAGCUGUUUAGAGCACUGGCUGCUCCCACAGAGGAGGCAGGUUUGCUUCCCAGAACCCCCAUGGCAGCUCACAACUACCUGCAACUCCACUUCCAGGAGAGCUGAUGCCCUCUUUUGAACUCCUUGGGCACCAGGCACAGCUGGUGUACACAGACAUACAUGUAGGAAAUCACCCAUACACAUAACAUAAAUAAAUCUUUAAACAUUUCAUUGUAAGAAAAGGCUCAUAGAAUGAGAUGACUAUUCCUUGAUUCAUCUCUGCUAUCUGAUCCCUGCUCUUUAAUUCAAAAAGUUAUUAUUUUAAUUAUGUGUACAUAUGUGUCUCUAUAUAGAUACGUUUGGGUGUAAAUGCAAUGCCUGAGGAGCCCAGAAGAGGGCG